rnacentral:rRNA from 1 species
UACAGGGGGGGCAAGCGUUGUUCGGAAUUACUGGGCGUAAAGGGUUCGUAGGUGGCCAACUAAGUCAGACGUGAAAUCCCUCAGCUUAACUGGGGAACUGCGUCUGAUACUGGAUGGCUUGAGUGCAGGAGAGGAACGCGGAAUUCCAGGUGUAGCGGUGAAAUGCGUAGAUAUCUGGAGGAACACCGGUGGCGAAGGCGGCUUCCUGGACCUGUUCUGACGCUGAGGAGCGAAAGCGUGGGGAGCGAUCCGG